GAUGAACGCUGGCGGCGUGCCUAAUACAUGCAAGUCGAGCGAACGGACGAGAAGCUUGCUUCUCUGAUGUUAGCGGCGGACGGGUGAGUAACACGUGGAUAACCUACCUAUAAGACUGGGAUAACUUCGGGAAACCGUAGCUAAUACCGGAUAAUAUUUUGAACCGCAUGGUUCAAAAGUGAAAGACGGUCUUGCUGUCACUUAUAGAUGGAUCCGCGCUGCAUUAGCUAGUUGGUAAGGUAACGGCUUACCAAGGCAACGAUGCAUAGCCGACCUGAGAGGGUGAUCGGCCACACUGGAACUGAGACACGGUCCAGACUCCUACGGGAGGCAGCAGUAGGGAAUCUUGCGCAAUGGGCGAAAGCCUGACGGAGCAACGCCGCGUGAGUGAUGAAGGUCUUCGGAUCGUAAAACUCUGUUAUUAGGGAAGAACAUAUGUGUAAGUAACUGUGCACAUCUUGACGGUACCUAAACAGAAAGCCACGGCUAACUACGUG
rnacentral:rRNA from 1 species